CAGCCCAGUACAUCACAAAGGGUUCUUGGCACUGAAAAUGGCCCCCAAAAGGUUCUUCCAAGAACCCCAUAGGAGGUGGGGUUCAUUGAGAACCCCAUCCAACUAACUGCCCAAUUUAAACAUUUUGAUUUGAAAGAUCAACAGGUGCAGGCACUUAACUGAAAAAAUGUAAAGAUCUCCUCAAUUUAAGAAAAUGGACACAAUUCAAUGGAUAUCAAGAGGGAAGAAUAUGUAGGCUGUUGGAAUAUGAUGAAGGCUAGCUGUAUUGCGUGCAGAUGACUGAACUGCUCACUUCUGUGUCUGUAGGUAUACAGACAACGAGGCAUACAAAGUUAUAUCAAUUGGAUUCACGGACUUCACCCUCCCUACACCUCUGAUGAAUAUAACAGAAAACCUGUUCUAUCACCAUGCACUGCAAAAUCAUUUUGGUUAUGGAUACGGAGAACAUCAACACAUUAAUAUCACCACACCAGAGGAUAUAUCCAUUGGACUUGCUAGGAGUUUACCUCAUAUUUGGAUGUUUUUAUUCUGCUUUGCCACUAAAAUCAUAAUAAACACUGAGAA